rnacentral:rRNA from 1 species
GCAAGUCGAGCGCUCUCUUCGGAGGGAGCGGCGGACGGGUUAGUAACGCGUGGGAAUGUACCCUUCUCUAUGGAAUGGCCAUUGGAAACGAUGAGUAAUAACAUAUACGCACUUCGAGGGAAAGAUUUAUCGGAGAAGGAUCAGCCCGCGUUAGAUUAGAUAGUUGGUGGGGUAAUGGCCUACCAAGUCUACGAUCUAUAGCUGGUUUUAGAGGAUGAUC